rnacentral:rRNA from 1 species
CAGUCGCCGCGGGAACACGGAGGGAGCUAGCGUUGUUCGGAAUUACUGGGCGUAAAGCGCACGUAGGCGGCUUUGUAAGUCAGAGGUGAAAGCCUGGAGCUCAACUCCAGAACUGCCUUUGAGACUGCAUCGCUUGAAUCCAGGAGAGGUGAGUGGAAUUCCGAGUGUAGAGGUGAAAUUCGUAGAUAUUCGGAAGAACACCAGUGGCGAAGGCGGCUCACUGGACUGGUAUUGACGCUGAGGUGCGAAAGCGUGGGGAGCAAACAGGAUUAGAUACCCCAGUAGUCCCUGUCUCUUAUAC